GGCAAGAUGGCCGAGCGGUCUAAGGCGCUGUGUUCAGGUUGUUGCUUCUUUCGGAGGUUCCAAUUCGCAGUCUUCGGGCGUGGGUUCGAAUCCCACUCUUGUCA
rfam:Trichosporon asahii var. asahii CBS 8904 unplaced genomic scaffold scaffold00105, whole genome shotgun sequence.